CCUACGGGAGGCAGCAGUGGGGAAUCUUGCACAAUGGAGGAAACUCUGAUGCAGCGACGCCGCGUGAGCGAUGAAGCCCUUCGGGGUGUAAAGCUCUUUCGACGGGAACGAUAAUGACGGUACCCGGAGAAGAAGCUGCGGCUAACUACGUGCCAGCAGCCGCGGUAAU
rnacentral:rRNA from 1 species